rnacentral:lncRNA from 1 species
GUACCAUAGAGUGAAUCUCAGAACAGGAAGCGGAGGCAUAAGCAGAGAGGAUUCUGGAAAGGUCCCUUUGUUUUCAUGUCCACAGAGAAAGCAAGAAAAAAAAUUGAAUUUAAUUUGCAAAUCCCUGUGGCCCAAAUCUGAAGAACUGCAGGGGGAGGCACGUUCCAUUCUAACCAUCUUGGAUGCUGGCCUUUGUUGAGCUGUGAUUCCUAAGGCUCUCCAUCAGAUUAUGGAGCAAGAGAGCUGAAGUCAAGCACACCAGAGUUAGUCAGCAAUGACAUAUCUGUCAAGGAUUCGUGGCAGAGUGACUUACUGGGAAAAAACACAAAAUCCCUUCUAGGGAUAUUAUAAGAGCAAAUGAGAUAAUUCCCAGAAGGGGCCUGGAGCUUUUCC